rnacentral:rRNA from 1 species
AUGCAAGUCGAGGGAGAAGCUUCUUCGGAUAGUGGAGACCGGCAGACGGGUGAGUAACACGUGGGAACAUACCGAGUAGUNGGGGGAUAACAGUUGGAAACGACUGCUAAUACCGCAUACGCCCUUCGGGGGAAAGAUUUAUCUGCUAUUCGAUUGGCCCGCGUUAGAUUAGCUAGUUGGUAAGGUAACNGGCUUACCAAGGCGACGAUCUAUAGCUGGUUUGAGAGGAUGAUCAGCCACACUGGGACUGAGNCACGGCCCAGACUCCUACGGGAGGCAGCAGUGGGGAAUAUUGCGCAAUGGAGGAAACUCUGACGCAGCCAUGCCGCGUGAGUGAAGAAGGCCCUAGGG